CAAGCUCACAGCCAAAGGACUGAAGCCAGACCCCCACAAGGUAGAAGCUGUCAGGAACAUGAAACCCCCUGAAACAGCAGCGAUACUAGAGACAAUCAUCAGUGUGGUGAAAAACCUUGCCAGAUUUGCCCCCAACCUGUCAGAAAUGAGCGCACCACUCAGACAACUACUACGCCAAGAUGCAGAGUUCGAAUGGGACCAAGCACACGAGCAGGCCUUCCAACAAAUCAAAGAAACACUCACAGCUGAGCCUGGAUCAUUGCUGGCUUACUUCGACCCACAAAAAAGAUGACGACGGUGGGAUUCCAGUGCAGGACGAACAUCCUGCGUCUGACAGCGCUGGGCGUCAGUCAGAGGAUCAACGUGUGUGUGUGUCUGCAGCGAAGAGGAAGAAGUUCCUGUCUGACAGCGAGGAUGAGGAGGAGGAUGAAGAAAAGCCUGGUGAGACAUCACACGUUUGUACCAAUCAGACGUUACACACAUAUAUACUGUAUAUACACACACACACACACACACACACAUACUGUAUAUAUAAACACACAGACACACACACACACACACAUAUACUGUAUAUAUAAACACACACAUAUACACACAUAUACACACACAUAUACUGUAUAUAUAAACACACACACACAUAUACGCACACACACAUACUGUGUAUAUAUAAACACACACACACACACAUACUAUAUAUACACACACACACAUCAC
rnacentral:lncRNA from 1 species